rnacentral:lncRNA from 1 species
AAUCAAUCAAACCAACAAGCCCUGAAAAAGGUCCUUCUAUCUUCCAGGCUCUGAGGGAGGUUUGCACCGUGCAAUGAUGAAAAGCCUUUCAAUUGGCGGCUGAGCCAGAGCUCUGUGUAUGCACUAAAAGGGGUGACCUGACCACAGUGCUCCUCUUCCUUUUCAGCUCUGAAAUGUGAGGAUUAUUCCAGUUGUGUCUGGGAGAAUUGGGUGAGAGAAGAAGAGAAGCAUUAUCCUCUACUUGGCCACUUCUAGCUGUGAGCACAUCUACGAAAGCCUGUGCCUGAGACGGGGCACCUCUCUUUCCCAUUUCCUUUCCCAACUAGCUGACUAGAGCAGCAACCUUGAGAUAAAACAGUCUAUGACGUUUGUGAGUCUCAGAAGAUCAUGUGAUUCUGGGAAGCCAGAGGAAUAGUGACUGUAGUUGAUUGUGGGUAUAGUAGCAGCAAGAGGAGCUUACUGGCAACAAAGAAAUGAAGAAAGAAAAGAAGAUCACGCUUGGAUUAGACUUAGCAUCUAAUCAGACUGUGCUUAAUAGAGGAAAUAACGACCUCCUGGGAUGAAUCUUGGCAGCUAACCAAAGAAGAAAAGAAAUUGAGGGCUAAUGGUAUUUCUGCUUGGAGGUUGCUCCAGACUGACUUUUAAAAGCUUGUCUGCUGGAUACUUUCACUGGGAUAUUCCACCAAAGAGUAAGACUCAACAAGUCUGAAAUCAAGGGUGUGCUGCUUCCUGCUUCUGGACUUGUUCCUUUCUCCCUGGAGACAAGUGGUGGUGGUAGCAUUUAAAAGACAUUUUGUCCGAAAAAAUACAAUCAUGGCUUGCCUAGAGCAGAAAUUACGUGUGCUCCUGCUUUUCUUUGUAAAUAAUUGAAUUUGUCUCUUAAGUUCAAGCAGUUCAAGAUUCCUUUUUACGUGUGGAGCUGACGGGUUCUGUUUUCUUCACAUAUGCACCAGACUGUAAUCUAAGGCAGAAGAAAUAGUGUGCGAUUGAAAUUUUGGUGAACAGGAAGAAUGAUAGAGGAGAUUGACAUGUCUUCCUUAGAAAA